UACGGAGGGUGCAAGCGUUGCUCGGAAUUAUUGGGCGUAAAGGGUAGGUAGGUGGUCUCAUUUGUCUGGGGUGAAAUCCUUGGGCUUAACUCAAGAAGUGCCCCAGAAACGGUGAGACUAGAGUACUGGAGAGGCGAGUGGAAUUCCCGGUGUAGCGGUGAAAUGCGUAGAGAUCGGGAGGAACACCAGUGGCGAAGGCGGCACCCUGGACCAGCACUGACACUGAGGCACGAAAGCGUGGGGAGCAAACAGG
rnacentral:rRNA from 1 species